GACGAACGCUGGCGGCGUGCUUAACACAUGCAAGUCGAACGGAAAGGCCCUGCUUGUAGGGUACUCGAGUGGCGAACGGGUGAGUAACACGUGGGUGAUCUGCCCUGCACUUCGGGAUAAGCCUUGGAAACUGGGUCUAAUACCGGAUAGGAGCCAUUUUUAGUGUGAUGGUUGGAAAGUUUUUUCGGUGUAGGAUGAGCUCGCGGCCUAUCAGCUUGUUGGUGGGGUAAUGGCCUACCAAGGCGGCGACGGGUAGCCGGCCUGAGAGGGUGGACGGCCACAGUGGGACUGAGAUACGGCCCAGACUCCUACGGGAGGCAGCGGUGGGGAAUAUUGCACAAGGGGCGCAAGCCUGAUGCAGCGACGCCGCGUGGGGGAGGACGGCCUUCGGGUUGGAAACUCCGUUCGCUAGGGACGAAGCUUUUUGUGACGGUACCUAGAUAAGAAGCACCGGCUAACUACGUG
rnacentral:rRNA from 1 species